UCGGGGAUAGCCUUUCGAAAGAAAGAUUAAUACCCGAUGGCAUAAUAGAACCGCAUGGUUUGAUUAUUAAAGAAUUUCGGUUAUCGAUGGGGAUGCGUUCCAUUAGGCAGUUGGUGGGGGUAAUGGCCCACCAAACCUUCGAUGGAUAGGGGUUCUGAGAGGAAGGUCCCCCACAUUGGAACUGAGACACGGUCCAAACUCCUACGGGAGGCAGCAUG
rnacentral:rRNA from 1 species